CCGGCGCGCGCCCCGCGCUUUCGCGGCUCGGCACCUCGCGCCUGUCCCGCCGGCCUCGCGCCUCCUCCUCGGAGCCGAGCCUCAGCCUCCCGCCCCGCGGCUCUCAGAGGAUGAAAGACGCGAAGCCCAGUAGGAAGGAAGGAGAAGGAAAGAAGAAGAAAGCGGAGAGUGGGAGCAAAGGGAAGAGUAAAUAUUGCAGUGCUACACGAUGUGCAGUUGAAUUCGAGGAUGUGGAGGGUCAACUUGGACACGUGUUCGAUCCCUGGUCUGGGAGGAUCCCACAUGCCGCGGAGCAGCUGGGCCCGUGCAACACAACUACUGAGCCUGCGCUCUAGAGCUCACGUGCCACAACUACUGAGCCCGCGUGCUGCAACUACUGAAGCCCGUGCGCCUAGAGCCCGUGCUCCACAACAAGAGAAGCCACCGCAAUGAGAAGCCCGUGCACCGCAACCAAGAGUAGCCCCUGCUCGCCACAACCAGAGAAAGCCCACGCGCAGCAACAAAGACCCAACGCAGGCAAAAAAUAAAAAUUAAAAAAAAAGAAAAAGAAAUUUGACAUUCUAUUUAUUUUUGAAAGAUUUAAAUGAAAAUUUACUUAAA